rnacentral:rRNA from 1 species
UUUUAUGGAGAGUUUGAUCCUGGCUCAGGAUGAACGCUGGCGGCGUGCCUAAUACAUGCAAGUCGAGCGAACGGACGAGAAGCUUGCUUCUCUGAUGUUAGCGGCGGACGGGUGAGUAACACGUGGAUAACCUACCUAUAAGACUGGGAUAACUUCGGGAAACCGGAGCUAAUACCGGAUAAUAUUUUGAACCGCAUGGUUCAAAAGUAAAAGACGGUCUUGCUGUCACUUAUAGAUGGAUCCGCGCUGCAUUAGCUAGUUGGUAAGGUAACGGCUUACCAAGGCAACGAUGCAUAGCCGACCUGAGAGGGUGAUCGGCCACACUGGAACUGAGACACGGUCCAGACUCCUACGGGAGGCAGCAGUAGGGAAUCUUCCGCAAUGGGCGAAAGCCUGACGGAGCAACGCCGCGUGAGUGAUGAAGGUCUUCGGAUCGUAAAACUCUGUUAUUAGGGAAGAACAUAUGUGUAAGUAACUGUGCACAUCUUGACGGUACCUAAUCAGAAAGCCACGGCUAACUACGUGCC